GUCUGGUGCCAGCAGCCGCGGUAAUUCCAGCUCCAAUAGCGUAUAUUAAAGUUGUUGCAGUUAAAAAGCUCGUAGUUGAAUUUCGGAAUUUGUCGGUUGGUCGGGCUUCACUGUCCGCACUGGCCUGAUGGAUUCCUACCUUCUGAAUAACCAGCAUGCUAUUAAGUUAGUGCGUUGGGGAAGCAGAGCUAUUACCUUGAAAAAAUUAGAGUGCUUAAAGCAGGCUUAUGCUUGAAUAGAUUAGCAUGGAAUAAUAAAAUAGGACGGCAUGGUUCUAUUUUGUUGGUUUCUAGGAUCACCGUAAUGAUUAAUAGGGAUAGUUGGGGGCAUUAGUAUUCAAUUGUCAGAGGUGAAAUUCUUGGAUUUAUUGAAGACUAACUUCUGCGAAAGCAUUUGCCAAGGAUGUUUUCAUUAAUCAAGAACGAAAGUUAGGGGAUCGAAGACGAUCAGAUACCGUCGUAGUCUUAACCAUAAACUAUGCCGACUAGGGAUCGGACGAUGUAAU
rnacentral:rRNA from 1 species